rnacentral:rRNA from 1 species
ACGAAGGUCCCAAGCGUUAUCCGGAUUUAUUGGGUUUAAAGGGUGCGUAGGCGGGCUAUUAAGUCAGUGGUGAAAUCUCCGAGCCUAACUCGGAAAUUGCCAUUGAUACUGAUGGUCUUGAGUACAUUUGAAGUGGGCGGAAUGUGUCAUGUAGCGGUGAAAUGCUUAGAUAUGACACAGAACACCGAUUGCGUAGGCAGCUCACUAAACUGUAACUGACGCUGAGGCACGAAAGCGUGGGGAGCAAACAGGA